UCAGGUUCCUGCUGGACUUUAAUCUCUGUGGUCUGUGGCACUCUGAUUACUUCGUGGACGCCAAGGCUGGCUAUCAUACAAGUCAUAAGCAGAAGAAGGUAGAAGCGUUUCAGCCCUGCGACACGGCGUAUCCCGGCUUCAUGUACGACCCGUCUGUCAAGGAAGCCAACAGCCUCAUCAAGUGUGGACGCUGCCAGAAGAUGUUUGUGGUG